GUGCUCACUUAGGCACACAUACACUAAGACUGGAAAAAUACAGAGAAGGUUAAUGUGGCUCCUGCACAAGGAUAACAGCCAAAUUUGUGAAACAUUUCAUAUUUUU
rnacentral:snRNA from 1 species